AGAAAAAGGAUUCCUCGCGGUUGCUAACUAGUGGUAUCUUGAUUGAGGGGCGACUUUGCACAUUUGUUGAAGCAGGUUGAAGGAAAGAGAACAGUUAGCGCACAAGCAGCUUUCAGAAAAGUGGUCUCUCAAAGAACGGCUUGAGGCAAAAACAGGUAACUACAGCAAGUAAAUUACAACAUGUUUGACAAAGGGCAGCUGAUCUUGAAAUCUGGCAGAUGUUACUACAAGCCAUGAUACAUGUAGGUGCCAUGAUGGUGGUCCAUUGAGGGUAGUCCAUGGGUAGUCCAUGGGUAGUCCAUUCAAGUAGUCCAUGGACCAGGUCCAUCAAGGUAGUCCAUAGACUAGGGGUCAGCAAAAUGUACCAUUACACGGUCAGUAUAAAUAUGGACUGCGGACUGCAGACUGUGGACUGUGGACUGCGAACUGCGGACUUAGGCAUAAAACGCAGACUAAGCAUUAUGAACUGAGUAUAAAACACAGACUGUGACCUAAAUGCAGCCUACCGACUGCAGUCUGUGUUUUUUUCUGACCGGUCAUAACUAAUUUUACGUAAUACAUGUAUAAACGAGCGAUCGAGAACAAACCCUCCUGUGUGUACAGCGUACGUGCUUUGCAAUCAAUUCAUUUGUUUUCGCCCCUGCUGAAGAGAGGCCAAUUUCACGUCUACCCAACAGCUCAGGCACAAAAUGCUGCUCCUAGAAUUUUUGCUUUUUUGACGUACCAAUCCUACCAAGACUUGAAUGCACUCCUUAAUCUACAAUUACUACUAGUUUUCAUUGUAGCAGAAAUGCCCGCGGUCAGAGUGUCCGACCAGGCUAAGCUUUUACCUGUCAAAACCUCAAAUUUACCAGACAAUUGUCUGAUGACCUACUAUUAUUUGCAUGCUUGACAGUGAUAUGUUUUUGAUAAGCAUUAAUUUUGUUUCAAUAAUUGCCAAACGUACAUUACUUUCAAAAAUUUUGGACAUUUUAGUUUGGGAUGCUUUGCUAGAAUAUAGCUUAGUUAAAUUUUUGCCUACCAACCUUGAGUCAGAGUGGAAAAUUUAUGGAAUUGAUCUGCAUUACAUCUAUGUACUCAUAAAAGAAACGAAAGUUUUCCUUUCAGGUGAUAAAAAGAACAAGCAAAUCCAAAUUCAAGUUCUUGCUUCAUCUCUCAUGUGAUGGUGCUGUCCAAGAAGAAAGCAAGUUGCUAGAGACAUAGCGCACAAGAUCAAGGACCAUGGACCCGGGACAGAGGACCCUGGACAGAGCAUCAAGGAGCAAGGAUGGGACUGAGGAAUGAGGACCGAGGAUUGACAACUGUGGGUCAAGGACAGUGGAUGAUGCCUUGGAAGAUGAACUUUCGGAAGAUGAAUUAUAGAUAUAUUAAGGUAUAUGAGAUAUUACCAGUAGCAGAAAUGGCACAGUGCACCUUGCCCUGAGGGUUUUUCUCCAGGUACUCCGGUUCCCCUCACUCCUGAAAAACCAAUAUUUUCAAAUUACCAGUAGCAGAGAUGGCAUGGUGCACCUUGCCCUGAGGGUUUUUCUCCAGGUACUCCGGUUUCCCUCACUCCUGAAAAACCAAUAUUUCCAAAUUUCAAUUUAACAAAAUUUGUGACACAUUACUGUGGGCCAAUUGAGAUGAAAAAUUCUUUGAUUACUUGAGGUAAACAUUAAUUUGUUUGCAAUGUAAUACCAAUUUAUUACUCUCUGUUCAUUUCCUAGUUACAUGUGCACAUGUGGGUUUGCAGUCUCCUUUGCAGCUGUUAUUUUAGUCAAUGAGCAAACUAGGAAGAAGUUUUAUUUUUUUCUUUUUCAAAGAUCUCUUUUUUAAUCAUAGGUAAAGGGAAAUUCCCAAGUCAAUCAAUCAAUCAAUCAAUCAAUCAAUCAAUCAAUCAACCAAUAAUUUAAUCAAUCAAAAAAUCACUCAAUAACUCAAUUAAUAGUCAAGAUGAAAAGCCCAGGAUAUGCAGCUAAAUAAAAUAGCAAUUACCAACCUUUAAAUUUAUCUAGUUGCAAUUUAAAGAUCUUUAAGAUUGUAUUCCAAUACCACUUUGAUGCACAUGUAACUAGUACCCAUGUAAACAGAGUAUUGAACUGACCAGUGUGUGUGUUGUGUGGGUGUCAUUCAUUUGCAAAUAAGUGGCUUGCUUGUCACAUUUUCCAUACAAUUCAUUAUAUCAGGGCCGGGAAUUAUGCCAAUAGCAAUCAUCCUGACUAAAAAUUAACUGAAUCUCAAUUAUGGUAAAAUUUGUUUCUGUGAAUUAAAAGUUCAGUAAUUCUUGUUGUAUUUUCAUGCGUACAGACAUAAAACAAAAAAGAGCCGACAUUUUGUUCAAAAUUGCCUAAAAAAGUAAGUUUUUGCAAUUGUUAUUGUCGAAUUCAGAAACGGACAAUGAAAGUUCAAAAAGCCAUGCAGAAAAUAAACCAAAAUAUAUUUUAAUAAGAAAUAAUUUAUGAAAUGCUCUUUAUCCAAGAAAAGAAACCUAAACUGAACACUCAAUCUGACUCAAUCAAAGCAAAACUAUUUAGUUCUUAAUUAACACUCUCUAUAUUCCACAUUGUAGUGUUUUUAAUCACAUGCAACAAGACUUUCACAAUAAAGAACUCCCAAGAAUCUGACUUUUAGUUUUAUGAAUUUGAAAAUGAUGAAUAAGUCAUCAAAAGGUCAUUCAAAAUUAUUAUCGCUAACUUUUGUUCUUAAUUGUUUGUCCAAAGCCUCCGUUACUAGAAAAUACAGUCAAAACUUAUUUACCAUUUUAUUUAUUUCUUACAUGUACGUGUACAGGCAUUUUGAGUGCUCAUUAAAAAUCCUCAUAUUUAAAUUCUAGGAUGCUCUUAAAUGCAAAGCUAAAAAUAUUCCUAUUGAGUUCUAACCACAAGUUAUUUCAGUUCCUGAAAAUAAAUUGAAGUUACUCUUUUUUUGAUAUAUGUACCGGCAUUUUGGUGUACCACUAAAGAAGUCAGACAGCAGGAUAUAAUCAUUACAGUAGAUUUGAUUUUACAGAAGCCACUUAUUUGCUCAUGAAAACCUAGUUUCUCCUUCUUGCAAGAUUCCUAUUGAGCAGCUCUAUGGUGAAAUCUGUUCACUUCCAUUGGUUUUCCUCGGAAAUGGUAAAUUUAGUUUGGAGUUGAAAAACAAUAUCUUUUGCCAACGUCAACAUAAGAAACCGUUUAAGGUUCUCUUCAUUUUUAUGUCUGAUUUUGAAAAAAAAUAUACAUAUUUGUUGUACUUAAAAUACUGUUGCCAGAAUGCUAAGUUAUUUGCUUUUCUUGAGAAAAAUUUUCCCUGUAUUUACUUUAAAAAAUACAAUACAUUUUUUAAUCCAAAUAAGCUUGUUUUGGGAAAGUAGCUGCUCAGGAGGAAACUUGUAUUCAAGAAUA